GACGAACGCUGGCGGCGUGCUUAACACAUGCAAGUCGAGCGGUAAGGCCCUUUCGGGGGUACGACGAGCGGCGAACGGGUGAGUAACACGUGGGUGACCUGCCCUCAGCUCUGGGAUAAGCCUGGGAAACCGGGUCUAAUACUGGAUAUGACUCCAUGACGCAUGUUGUGGGGUGGAAAGCCUUGUGCGGCUGAGGAUGGGCCCGCGGCCUAUCAGCUUGUUGGUGGGGUGANGGCCUACCAAGGCGACGACGGGUAGCCGGCCUGAGAGGGCGACCGGCCACACUGGGACUGAGACACGGCCCAGACUCCUACGGGAGGCAGCAGUGGGGAAUCUUGCGCAAUGGGCGAAAGCCUGACGCAGCGACGCCGCGUGAGGGAUGACGGCCCUCGGGUUGUAAACCUCUUUCAGCUCCGACGAAGCGAGAGUGACGGUAGGAGCAGAAGAAGCACCGGCCAACUACGUGCCAGCACGCCGCC
rnacentral:rRNA from 1 species